AUUGAACGCUGGCGGCAGGCCUAACACAUGCAAGUCGAACGGUAACAGGAAACAGCUUGCUGUUUCGCUGACGAGUGGCGGACGGGUGAGUAAUGUCUGGGAAACUGCCUGAUGGAGGGGGAUAACUACUGGAAACGGUAGCUAAUAACGCAUAACGUCGCAAGACCAAAGAGGGGGACCUUCGGGCCUCUUGCCAUCGGAUGUGCCCAGAUGGGAUUAGCUAGUAGGUGGGGUAACGGCUCACCUAGGCGACGAUCCCUAGCUGGUCUGAGAGGAUGACCAGCCAAACUGGAACUGAGACACGGUCCAGACUCCUACGGGAGGCAGCAGUGGGGAAUAUUGCACAAUGGGCGCAAGCCUGAAGCAGCCAUGCCGCGUGUAUGAAGAAGGCCUUCGGGUUGUAAAGUACUUUCAGCGGGGAGGAAGGGAGUAAAGUUAAUACCUUUGCUCAUUGACGUUACCCGCAGAAGAAGCACCGGCUAACUCCGUGCCAGCCGCAGUAACAC
rnacentral:rRNA from 1 species